rnacentral:rRNA from 1 species
GACAGGCUUAACACAUGCAAGUCGAGGGGCAGCGGGGGCGUAGCAAUAUGCCUGCCGGCGACCGGCGCACGGGUGAGUAACACGUAUGUAACCUGCCCUAUGCAGGGGGAUAACCCGGAGAAAUCCGGCCUAAUACCGCGUAACACCUUUGGGGAGCAUUCCCUUGGGGUUAAAGGAGAGAUCCGGCAUAGGAUGGACAUGCGUCGCAUUAGGUAGACGGCGGGGUAACGGCCCACCGUGCCGACGAUGCGUAGGGGUUCUGAGAGGAAGGCCCCCCACACUGGUACUGAGACACGGACCAGACUCCUACGGGAGGCAGCAGUGAGGAAUAUUGGUCAAUGGCCGAGAGGCUGAACCAGCCAAGUCGCGUGAGGGAAGAAUGUCCUAAGGAUUGUAAACCUCUUUUGUCGGGGAGCAAAAAGGCUCUGCGGAGUCGUAUUGAGAGUACCCGAAGAAAAAGCAUCGGCUAACUCCGUGCCAGCAGCCGCGGUAAUACGGAGGAUGCGAGCGUUAUCCGGAUUUAUUGGGUUUAAAGGGUGCGCAGGCGGCGUGUCAAGCAAGCGGUAAAAUAGCGGGGCUCAACCCCGUCGAGCCGUUUGAACUGGCGCGCUUGAGUUCAGGCGAGGUAGGCGGAAUUCGUGGUGUAGCGGUGAAAUGCAUAGAUAUCACGAAGAACUCCGAUUGCGAAGGCAGCUUACCAGUCUGCGACUGACGCUCAGGCACGAAAGUGUGGGUAUCGAACAGGAUUAGAUACCCUGGUAGUCCACACAGUAAACGAUGAGCGCUAGGUGUCCGGGUCGCAUGAGACUUGGGUGCCCGAGCGAAAGCGUUAAGCGCUCCACCUGGGGAGUACGCCGGCAACGGUGAAACUCAAAGGAAUUGACGGGGGCCCGCACAAGCGGAGGAACAUGUGGUUUAAUUCGAUGAUACGCGAGGAACCUUACCCGGGCUCAAACGACUCAGGAAUAUAUUGGAAACGAUGUAGCCAGCAAUGGUCUGAGUCGAGGUGCUGCAUGGUUGUCGUCAGCUCGUGCCGUGAGGUGUCGGCUUAAGUGCCAUAACGAGCGCAACCCCUACCGCCAGUUGCCAACGGGUAAAGCCGGGAACUCUGGCGGGACUGCCGGCGCAAGCUGCGAGGAAGGCGGGGAUGACGUCAAAUCAGCACGGCCCUUACGUCCGGGGCGACACACGUGUUACAAUGGCAGGUACAGCGGGAAGCCACCUGGUGACAGGGAGCGGAACCCGAAAGCCUGUCUCAGUUCGGAUUGGAGUCUGCAACUCGACUCCAUGAAGCUGGAUUCGCUAGUAAUCGCGCAUCAGCCAUGGCGCGGUGAAUACGUUCCCGGGCCU